UAUCAACUGCUCACUUAGAUUCAUUUUCAAAGUAAAUGUUUAAGAGCCGAGGCAUUCCUAUCCUCUUCUAAGGCGUUAUUCCUGGAGGCUCAUUCACCGCCAGCACCUCCGCUGCCUGCAGGCAUUGCUGUCACCGUCACCGUGACGGCGCGCACGAUUUUCAGUUGGCCCGCUUCCCCUCGUGAUUAGGACAGACGCGGGCACUCUGGCCCAGCCGUCUUGGCUCAGUAUCUGCAGGCGUCCGUCUCGGGACGGAGCUCAGGGGAAGAGCGUGACUCCAGUUGAACGUGAUAGUCGGUGCGUUGAGAGGAGACCCAGUCGGGUGUCGAGUCAGAAGGGGCCCGGGGCCCGAGGCCCUGGGCAGGACGGCCCGUGCCCUGCAUCACGGGCCCAGCGUCCUAGAGGCAGGACUCUGGUGGAGAGUGUGAGGGUGCCUGGGGCCCCUCCGGAGCUGGGGCCGUGCGGUGCAGGUUGGGCUCUCGGCGCGGUGUUGGCUGUUUCUGCGGGAUUUGGAGGAAUUCUUCCAGUGAUGGGAGUCGCCAGUGACCGGGCACCAGGCUGAGCGCCAGUCUGCCCCGAGUCUCUUCCCCCUCGUCUCCUGCGUCAGCCCCCCGUCCGAUGAGAGCCUGGUGGCCCUGGGCUGCCUGGCCCGGGACUUCCUGCCCAGCUCCGUCACCUUCUCCUGGAACUACAAGAACAGCAGCAAGGUCAGCAGCCAGAACAUCCAGGACUUCCCGUCCGUCCUGAGAGGCGGCAAGUACUUGGCCUCCUCCCGGGUGCUCCUACCCUCUGUGAGCAUCCCCCAGGACCCAGAGGCCUUCCUGGUGUGCGAGGUCCAGCACCCCAGUGGCACCAAGUCCGUGUCCAUCUCUGGGCCAGCAUCUCGGCAGCUCCCAGCCCCUGCAGGGACCCCUGGGCCAACCCUGUCAACGGUCUCCACCAAAGCCCUCACCACGCCAAGGAUCCCAGCGUGUCAGAACCACACCCGCCCUCCCAGCGUCUACCUGCUCCUCCCCCCGCUGCAGGGCCUGUGGCUGCGGGCUGAGGCUACAUUCACCUGCCUGGCGGUGGGGCAGGACCUGCAGGAGGCCCGCCUGUCCUGGGCCGUGGCCGAGGAGCCCCAAGGGGGGCGCAUGGAGGAGGGGCCCACGGAACAUACCAACGGCUCCUGGAGCCUGAGCAGCCGCCUUGCCCUGCCCAGGUCCUCGUGGGCCGCGGGCGCCCCCGUCACCUGCAGGCUGAGCGGCCCCGGCCUGCGGUCCCUGGUGACCGCGGAGGCUCGGAGAGAACAUGCCGCCUUGGCGCCCAGCAACCUGGCCGUCCGUGUCCUGACAGCACCCGGCCCGCUCGCUUUCACCAAGGCCGCCUCCUGGCUCCUGUGCGAGGUGUCCAGCUUCUCGCCCCUGGACAUCCUCCUCACCUGGCUGGAGGGCCAGCAAGAGGUAGACCCGUCUUGGUUUGCCACCGCGCGGCCCGCGGCCCAGCCUGGGAACCCCACGUUCCGUACCUGGAGCGUCCUGCGCGUCCCGGCCUCCCCGGGCCAUCAGGACGCCACCUACACCUGUGUGGUCGGGCACGAGGCCUCCCGGACGCUGCUCAACGCAAGCUGGAGACUGGACACAGGACCUCUGCUGAUCCAGCAGCGGCUAGGAGCAGAAUGGAAAGCCAGCAAGAGAGCUCCAGCCUCGCCUGAGGCUUAGAGCCCAAAGCCCCACCCAAACACUUAGAGCCGGGAACCGAGGAUCCCGCCCCACAGCCCGACUCCGCUCCUGGCGAAAACGAUGAACCCUCACCCCCAGCCCAAGAGAGGACAGUGUGCGCCCGCUCGCUCCCUGCAAGUCCACUUGCUGCUCUCUGCCCAGCACACCAGCCAGUGCUUCUGAGACAUGCGAAGGAGACACCUGUCAUCAAAAUAAAAAACAGCAAAUAGAAUCAGCCCCGCAGGUGACCCCGAUGUUGGCAUUAAAACACUUUGAUCAUGUUACCGCCCCCAA